GCCAGGUUGCCCGAGCGGCCAAAGGGAGCGGACUGUAAAUCCGCCGGCUUGUCCUUCGCAGGUUCGAAUCCUGCACCUGGCA
rnacentral:tRNA from 1 species